CAAUAGCGUAUAUUAAAGUUGUUGCAGUUAAAAAGCUCGUAGUUGGACCUUGGACCUGGACAGGCGGUCCGCCUCACGGCGUGUACUGUCUUGCUGGGUCUUUCCUCUUGGUGAUCUGUUGUUUCGGCAGCAGGGAACCAGGACUUUUACUUUGAAAAAAUUAGAGUGUUCAAAGCGGGCUCGACGCCGGAAUAUAUUAGCAUGGAAUAAUAAAAUAGGACGUGCGGUUCUAUUUUGUUGGUUUUUGGAAUCGCCGUAAUGAUUAAUAGGGACAGUCGGGGGCAUUAGUACUCACAUGCUAGAGGUGAAAUUCUUGGAUUUUGUGAAGACUAACUUCUGCGAAAGCAUUUGCCAAGGAUGUUUUCAUUAA
rnacentral:rRNA from 1 species